CCCGUCUCUGCACCAAAAGUAGGGGUGGACCCUGUGGGAAACAGGCAGGGGACAGAUGGAGGAGCGAGAGGGCGGGAGUCCCAACAUGCACAGAUGAGCAAAUACCCAGAUUGAAACGUAAGCUGAAUGUAAUUACUUGGUUAAUUAAAUAUUGACUUUUAACUCAAAAAGUGAUUAAAACAAGCUGCAGGAAGACUGUCCAGAAAGGGGGGCAGGGAAUGAAUCAAAGCUUUCAAGGAGGGGAGGAGGAGGGGUCGUCACAGGCAGGUCUGGCUUGCUCUUCCUACUGUGUGCUGGGCCUACAGCAUGCAGGUGGGGAGCUGCGGACCGAGGCCAGUGUGCAAACUAAGAUUGCAGGAUUCCCCUUCCAUCUUCCACCCCAAGACGGCAUCUCUCUACCCUGCUGCCCUCCAAGUGAACCGGCAGCUUCUGGCGCGCAGGAGCCAGAUCCUGUUCAGCCGCGUUUCCCUGGAACAGAACGCGGUGCCUGGCACGAGGGGGUGCUCCAGAAAUGCUUGUAGAACGAAUGAACGAACUACUAUAAGGAAUGUUUGUUUGGAAAAGUGCACUCCUAGAAUUCACCGCUAGACUUCUGAAACCCCGAGGAGUCGAAGAGGGGAGCAUCUCUCCGCCAGACGAUGGAAACUGGUUCUACCCUGGCCUGGGAGGAAGUCUGCCUUUUCGAUCCUGUUUGUCCUUUCGAUGUCUGCGAGUUUCCAAUCACUCUGAAGAUCCGGCCCACUGCUUCCCCGAGUCCUGCCCGGACAAGCCCCACGUGGGCUGGCUUCUAGCCGGUCCCUUGGGUCUAAACCCCAAGGGUCAACAAGGCCAUGCCCCUGCGGAUGGUGGGGCCCAGGCGCGCUUCCCCCGGGGCCGCCUGGGCUCAGUGUGGCGCGUCCGCCGGUCAGGGGCGCGGCGGGAAGUCCUCGCCCGCCCAGCCAGCCAGCGGGGUCAAACAGGUCAUCCCCCUGCGGCCGGCCGGCGCCGGAGCCUCCCUCCUGCCUGCAGGGUUCCACCUCCGCAAGCAGCACUGGGGCCGGAGCCGGGCGGUCGGGACCGGCCCGGGCUCACCUGGGCGGCGCUCGCGGCCGGGCUUCACGCGGAGGCUGCCGGCGCCGGAGCCCCGCCCGAUCCCUGCGUCCCCUGCCACCCACCUGCCCCCCACGCCCCACUCACCAGCGCGCCGUCCGGCGGCCUCACCGCGCGGGCGCCACCGCUCUGCCGCAGCCCGGCCGGCCGCGGGGCGGCAGGGACUCCGCGCUGCCGCCGCUGCUGACUGCUGCUGCCGUCCGCCGCCGCCGCAUCCCCCGGCGAGCGAGGCUGCUGCUCCCCUCCUGCCUCCUCCCGCCCCCCAAGCCCGCCGCGGCUGCCGCGGCGCCCCGGCCCCCGCCCCGCGCCCGCCCAAGCCAAAGUCCCGCUCCGCGCCCCGCCCGGACCGCUCUUAAAUCGCCCCAGCCGGCCGGCGCGGCUGCCCCAGCCCAGCCCUUGCACGGGCUGCGCCCCUGCCCGCCGGCCUUCCGGCGCAGAGGAGGCGGGCGCGCUUCGGGCGGGGAGCGUCGGCUGGAGCGCGGACGGCGGGGGCCGGGCGCUGGGGGCCCAGCCCCAGCCCGGGUGCCCUCCUGCAGCCCUCCGCGCGCGAGCGCUUUUACCUCCGGCUCGGGGGACGCGCGGCCGGCGACCCGGCUCUGCCUGUUCCCGGCGCACGGCCCCGAAGUCCAGCUCCGGACGGGGCAGUGGACGCAGAGCUGGGGUCCCGGCGGCUCUCGGCCUCCAGAUGCCUCCGGACCCGGCUGGCCGCGCUCCCGGCGCCGAGCGCGCACCCUCGCCGGGAAACACAGACGCACACUCACCCGACACACUCUCGCUCCCGCUUGCCCUCGGCGGAGAGUUGAAACAGAUGUGGGAUUCGCCCAGGAGCUGGAAGCGAGGGAGGGAAGCGAGCCAGAGCCGUGUAACUCGCCCCGGUCUGCAAACACUCGACUGCCUUUGCUGAAAGCCUCGCGCUCGCCUCCAACCACACACAUUUGCCAUUGGAGAGGCCGGCGCCGGCCGCGACCCCGCAGCUCAAUCGCAGGGCAAACCGAGCUGCCCGUGCGCGCCCCAGAGCUCCCCGAGAAACUAACUUGGGCUCAAGUGAAAAUAGCAGCUGUUGCCCAGAAAUGGCCCGGGAGUAGCAAAGAAAAGAGAAACCGGCUUCUUCCGAAAGGGGAGGAAUUCGACUCAAGGGGGUGCUGUCUACCGCGGUUUCCGCUGUCCCUCGCGCCACAGAAGAGGCCGGAGGGGGACCGGCCUGACGCGGGUGGGCAAAGAGCGAGCAGAGAACCCACCAGCAGCUGCAGAAAACACAGCCGAGUUGCUUGCUAAGGGGAAACAGACGCCGCUGUAGGAAAGCACUUGUAAGCAGCAGUAACUUAUUAAACCUUGUGACAAUCUCACACAGUAAGUUACUAUGCCCGUUUUACCAUGGAAACCAAGAGAGGUUUAGUAACUGUCCGAAGAUUGCAUAAUUAUAAGUGGUGGAUCCUGUGAAGUCAAGAAGCCUUAGCUCCAGGCUCAUGCUCUUAAAUCCUAGGAUGUUUUUACUUUUCAACCUAGCAUCUCCUUUCUCUGGUGUGAUCCUCCAUGCUAGACUUGUCAGACUUAACGAAUAAAUACAGACCUCCAUGGGGAGGAACUUAGUACUAAAAAAUUAUUCAUUUUUAAAUCUGAAAUUCAAAUCGGAUCCCCUGACUGGGUUUGGGGCUCUAGGCUCCUCCCCAUAACAUCUGUUAGCCACCCCAAUCAAGUUAGAGCCUAAAUAAAUCAGAAAAACCUUGAACUUGCUUUUCCAAAUCAGGUGCUGGCCCUACCAUUGGCAUCACUGAUAAGGCUGAUCAGCUCCCACCUUCUUUGCCUUGGGACGGAAUGUCAGGCUUCACCAUCAUAGACCAAAAAAUAAUGGAGACCCCUCUCCCUCUGUCUCAUCUCUGUAGAAGGACAUAUAUAUCAUUUAGAAUUUUCUAGUAGUGCAUUAGAAAGUAAAAAGAAACAGGUGAGGGUAGGGCACAGUGGCUCAAGCCUGUAAUCCCAGUAUUUUGGAAGGCCAAGGUGGGCAGAUCAUUUGAGCUCAGGAGUUCGAGACCAGCAUGGGCAACAUGGUGAAACCCCAUCUUUACAAGAAAUACAAAAAUUAAGCUGGGCAUAUUGGCAUGUGCCUGUGGUCCCAGCUACUCGGGAGGCUCAGGUGGGAGGAUCACUUUGAGCCUGGGAGGUCAAGGCUGCAGUGAGCCAUGAUUGUUCCACUGUGCUCCAACCUAGGUGACAGAGUGAGACCCUGUCUGAGAAAAGCAGGUAAAAUUAAUUUUAAUGUUAAUAAUAUAGUUAACCUAGUAUAUCCAAAAUCGAUCUCUUCAUGUAAUCAAUAUAAAAUUAUUAAUGAGAUUUUUACAUUAUUUUUUCUUACUAAGUUUUGUAAGCCGGUGUACAUUCUAAACUUAACAGCGCAUCUCAGUUGGGACCAGCCACGUGUGUCUCAGGGUUUCCAUGCUGGACAGUGCAACUCCGGCAGGUUCUGCAGUCAAUGGCUGUUUCCACCAGGUCGUCUCAUGUAAUCCUCCUGACAAUCUUUUCAAGAAACCCGAUGCUCAGAGAGAUAAAGGGUCUUGCCUAUAGUCAAAAACUUGGCCAGUGGGAUUUCAACCCAUUUGCUGUCCCUGGUUUUGGGACGUGUAGCCCACUGCAGAAGCAGUUUUCUUACUGGGUCCUCAGAGCCCCUUGGGGGUGGGGUCUGGGGCCUGGAGUGGAGGAGGGAGGCCCAGGAAUGGGAUCUGCCUUCCUCCUACUUUUUAUGUUGGGUUUUGGAGAAUAUUUCAGGGGUGGGGAAAUUUCCACAGCAAAAAAAAGUUUAAAAAAUACCCACUGCAUUACCAUACUAUGCCCUUUGGGUCUCGAGUUCCUGAACGUGGCUCUCUCAUACCCAUAUGGAUCUUGCCCACAAUGUUUCACUCCAUCCUUCUCUGCUCAUCAGGCAACCCCAGUCAGAGAGGGGAAGCUUACAAUCCCUUCUGGGGCUGUGGGCCUGGUGGACAUGUGGCAUUUGCUUAUCUUUUUGGAUAUGUUGUUUCCAUUGUUGCUGGACAUUACCAAACAUGGUAAUGUCUGUGUUGGCCCCUUAUUCUUCCUUAAGUAGAUGGGGACAGAUCUUGCGUGUGCAUGCAUGUGUACCUGUGUGUCUGAGCAUGUAUGUGUGUGUGUGUUCAUUGUAGGCAGGUGCUAUGGGUCACGUGUUUUAGUCUGGACUUAACUUACUGGCUCAGACACCCAUGAGGUCAGAGGGUCUGCAUAGCUCCUCUGGCCAUGUUUCUUCCCCCAUAAUUCCCAGCAAACUCCCUUGUCCUCUGGGUUCAAGGCCUUAGCCUGUUUUCGAGGUCCUUCCAGGCAGGUGGGGACCGGAGGCCCGUUCCAGAGCUCGGAGCUGGGUGUCUGGGAUACGUGAGGGGCCCUGAGGGCUCACAUGUCCCCCAGCCUGGCAGCCGGGUCUGGGUGGGGCUCAGCAGAAUCCUGGGCACCCCCACGGCCUCCUGAUACUCCAGCCCCUGCCACCUCUACCCACACCAAGACAGUCUUUCUCCUCCCAUGUCCUUCAUCCCCCAUGACAUCUCUUGGUAUGAUCCUGACCAUCCUAGCUGGACGAUCAGGCUUUUCAGGCUCCUCAUGCCGCCCCAUUCUCCCCAGCAUUGUUGAUUUAACCUCAGGGGGACCUUUCUCUUGAUGCCUCCAUGCCUCGUUUCUUCCCUCUGCAGAUUCCUUGGCAGCCCUUUUGUGCAGAACGCCCGUCUGGUUCUAUCUCCCUUGCAAGGCCAGAGUAGCUGUUUUAUUCCCUUGACUCAUAUGUAAC
rnacentral:lncRNA from 1 species